CGUUUGGUGGUCGCGCCCUCGGGCGCGUGAAAAGGGAACACGGUGCAAAACCGUGACAGUCGCCGCUACUGUGAGAAGGACGAACCCCGAAGGCUCAUCGCCGUCACUGGCAAUCGCUGGGAAGACGCUCGGGAAGUAGGAAGACUUCAAGUCAGGAGACCUGCCAUCAUUC
rnacentral:ncRNA from 1 species